AAGGGAGGACGUGAUGGGUCUUCCAGUAUGAAAUUCUGGAUUUCCCUGGGUCUUCUGUUAGGAGUGGAAUCAACUGUGCUGACAACACAGGAGCUGAAAAAUCUGUGUAUUUUCUCAGUGAAGGGAAUCAAGGGAUGGCUGAACAGACUCUCCGCUGCUGGUGUGGGUGAUGUGGUGAUGGCUACAGUUAAGAAAGGCAAACCACAGCUUAGAAAGAAGGUACACCCAGCAGUGAUAAUUGACAAUGAAAGUCUUACCAGAUAAAAGAUGAAAUGCUUCUUUAUUUUGAAGAUAAUGUGGAAGUUAUAGGAAAUAAUAAAGGUAAGAUAAAAAUUUCUGCUAUCACAGGACAGAUUGUGAAGGAGGGUGCAGAAUUGUGCCCCAGUAUUAGAUACAGCUCUGGUAGCAUUGCAUGA
rnacentral:lncRNA from 10 species